rnacentral:rRNA from 1 species
UACGUAGGGUGCGAGCGUUAAUCGGAAUUACUGGGCGUAAAGCGUGCGCAGGCGGUUCGUUGUGUCGGCGGUGAAAGCCCCCGGGCUUAACCUGGGAAUGGCCGUUGAAACUGGCGAACUGGAGUGUGGCAGAGGGGGGUGGAAUUCCGCGUGUAGCAGUGAAAUGCGUAGAGAUGCGGAGGAACACCGAUGGCGAAGGCAGCCCCCUGGGCUAACACUGACGCCUCAGGCACGAAAGCGUGGGGAGCAAACAGG